rnacentral:hammerhead_ribozyme from 15 species
AACUAGUCGGGAGUUGAUGCCGCUCUCCUGAUAAGGUCAUGGCAGGUCAAAACCAGUU